GAGCGGAGCAGCAGUAAUGGCGAGAGCAGAGAUGAAGCUGGAUCUCACUGACACCAAACAUCAAACAUGAAGAAUCAGGUGUGACCCUUCCGCUGACGAUCGGAGAAGUGGAGGUUCUGCAGACACAGGAGAACACAAAUGGCGAUAAAACACAAAUCUCGCAUGUGUCGCAUCUAUUACGCGCGAAUUGCCUGUGCGCGAGCGGAGCGCGUUGACAGAGAAAAAGAAAAGUAUGGGAAGCCGUUUAAGACGAAACUCGCACUUGAAACUCGAAACUUGCGAUAAACAUUGAGACACUUGCGCAUACACGUGAAACACGAUAUAUCUGUGCAUAUAUAUGAAAGACAUGCGGUUACAUAGAAACUACAUAAGCCGCGCUUCUGCUUCCAAAUGAACUAAACUUCUGGUCAAUGAAAAUGUUUAUGCUCUCUCACACGCGAGAAUGUUAGAAAGUGCAGUCUUUGUGCGGGUACAACAGUACGUGGUCGAUUACAGCGUAAAUGCAAAGAGUGUCUAUUUAAUUAUAUGCACAGAUAGUGUUUCCCAUGUAUGCGCAAGUGUUUCAAAUCAAACGGCCUCCCAUACAAAAUAAUUGCGUUUAAAUUUCUGUCUCUUCAGCAUGUGUUCAUAAUGUACGUAUCUGAAGGCAUCUCCUUCAGUUCUUGCCGCGCGUGUUUUUCUGUCGUUCGUUCGUUUUGCGGCGCUGCUCCAUCAUCUGCCAUUGAUCAACAGACCCCGCCCACUUUUGACGCCGCUGGAAGUAUUUUUCCCGUUUAGUUUUUUUUAAACCAGACCCAAUGGAUCACAUCAUUACAAACUCUAAACUGAAGAAUAAAAGUAUUUGGAAAUGGGACAAAGGUGCAUAUGGAGUGCUUCAUAUGUUAAUGGGUGGAGCUAGUUUGGUAUGAGUUUUUCUUUUUGAUUGGUGGAGAUGUCUCUGCUGAAUCAUGGGAAAUGUAGUUUCUCAACAGGAAUUCCGCUGUUAAACAUGAUUAUUUAAAAAUGAGUUGAAAAAAUGGCUUCAACGCAAAUCCUAUCAAUUAAUAAUAAUCUCAGAGCUCACAGGAGGUCUGUUCUCAGCGAUUUUUAUUUUACUAAGUGAAUCAUAAAUAAUAAAUGUUUUUAUUACCUUAGAUUUAGCUAUUUCUAUCUAUAUACACCUCGGGUCUCCUUACAUGGAAGCGCCGUGGUGACGCAAUGAUCUGUAUAGGUUUCUUUUUCAGUCUAUGUAUAGGUAAAUAUUUAUAUGUAGUUUAUUCAAAAUCUGUCAGUAGGUUACUUGUGUAUAGGUUUAUUUACAUUUAUUCAUUUAGCUGACACAUUGGUGUCUCACAGUGGAUUUGAACCCGGGUCUCUCACACUAAAGGCAUGUGUAACGGCAUUCAGUUCCACUGUAUGUCACAAAUGUAGCGGAGUGAUAAUAAAGCUCAACUUGAACUUGAAAUCUCAUUGCUCUCUGCUGUCUUUACCGAACACAUCUUUACCCGUGUCGGCCACCGUAGCUUCUCUGAAGGGAGGAGAUAGCGGGGGACUGAGCCGUUGGUUGUGAUUCGCAACCUCACCGCUAGAUGCCGCUAGACCCAAACACUGCAACUUUAACAUAUUUAAAAAAUAUUUGUGGUUCAUAAAAAUGUUUAUGAAGAAACGUGUUUGUACUUUUGUACUUGUAGUGUUCUGUUUUUUAUACUUAUUUUAAAAAAAGUAAAAUAAAAAAAAAAUCA